rnacentral:rRNA from 1 species
UACAGGGGGGGCAAGCGUUGUUCGGAAUUACUGGGCGUAAAGGGCUCGUAGGUGGCCGACUAAGUCAGACGUGAAAUCCCCUCAGCUUAACUGGGGAACUGCGUCUGAUACUGGAUGGCUUGAGUUUGGGAGAGGGAUGCGGAAUUCCAGGUGUAGCGGUGAAAUGCGUAGAUAUCUGGAGGAACACCGGUGGCGAAGGCGGCAUCCUGGACCAACACUGACACUGAGGAGCGAAAGCCAGGGAGCAAACGGG